rnacentral:lncRNA from 1 species
GUAAACGUAUUAUCGACUACUUUUUUAGACUAACAUAUUAUAUAUGAUUAUUUGAUUUUAAUUUUUGUUACUUAUUUUAAAAAAAAUUUACCGUACUUAUAAUUUUAUAAAAAAAUAUAAAAACAAAGAAAAUUUGAAGGAAAAUAUUAAAAACUAUUAAAAUAAAAAAAUAUAAAUGUCAAGAAAAUAAAAAUUUUGCACACUAA